rnacentral:rRNA from 1 species
GUGAACGUUCCGAAAACCAAGAAGACCUACUGCAAGAACAAGGAGUGCAAGAAGCACACCCUCCACAAGGUCACACAAUAUAAGAAGGGAAAGGACAGUCUUUCUGCUCAGGGGAAGCGUCGUUAUGACCGCAAGCAGUCAGGAUAUGGUGGCCAGACAAAGCCUGUUUUCCACAAGAAGGCCAAGACAACAAAGAAGAUUGUGCUGAAGCUGCAGUGCCAGAGCUGCAAGCAUUACUCACAGCGCGCUAUCAAGGUCCUCACGUCACACUUAAUCUGCCAUCCCAUCUCUUUGCUAUGUUCUGUUGUGUUCACAUGUCUGACGCUAUACUUGUACCGUUGUUACAGAGGUGCAAGCACUUUGAAAUCGGUGGAGACAAGAAGGGCAAGGGAACCUCUCUCUUCUAAGCUGAUGAUAUCCCUGUUAUGUUCAGAAUGUUGUGCCAGAACUUGCCACCCGAACAAUGUAUUAUCUUAUUAUUCUGGCUAUAACUCUAUGGGCCAUGUAGCAUAUGUUUUGCCUUCCUGUCAACUACUUCAGAUCCAUGAGACAAGUAAAAAUGAUCUUUAUGGUCUUGAGUUCGUUAUGGGUGUUCUUGAUCUUACUAGGAUUGUAUAUGUUUCUGGUUUUACGUUUUGA